rnacentral:lncRNA from 12 species
CCUGGCCCCCCAUGCCCCGCAAGCACACCCCAGCUCCCAGCUCUGCAGCAGCACAUGGAAAGUUGGAUGCAGUGGGAUGCUCCCGAGCAGGGAGAAGGUGAGGGGCCUGCCAAGCGCAUAAGGGCCGCACUAACAGGCUACUCACUGUGGCUGCGCUGAUUUAUGAGGCUGUCUGGGAGCCCAGCCAAGUCUGUAAGUCAUGGACAAUUAGGAGGCGCGCUCCAGCCAUCAGCCCCGUCUGCCGCGCGGGCUCACGGCCCGCUGUGCCACUCCAAGCAGGGUCAGCACCGUGGAGACCCCACUGUGCAGACGAGAACACCGAGGGCCAGGAUGCGGGUGGCUGGGCCAGGCCCAGACAAGGGCUACCCCACCCCCUGCCCGGGAAGCCACCUUAGCAGGGGCCUUGGGAAGCCUGUCCUACAGCAGCCAGGCCAAGAGUAGGAGGAACAGCAGGACCAGGGCUGCAGCCAGGGUCACGGAGGGCACCAGGUCCGAGUCCUCAGGACCAGGGAUCGCAUCACCAAGGGCAUGGUGGAGGGCAGCAGGGGCACCAGACAGCUGAGUGUCCGAGACCUUCUCCCCUUGGGGCUCCGGUCGGCCCAUCUGUAAGAAGGAGGACAUAAGGGAAGUGUUUCCUUUGGUCUCUGUCCCUCCCGUCCCUCUCCCUUGGGAGGCCCUCCAGACACAGCAGGAGCAGGGCCAGGAGGUAUCCCACAGGCCACGCUGGCCAGUGACUCCCUGAGACUCGGUUUUCUCCUCUGUCAAACAGGGAUGCAGAAGGCCACCAGGGAGGAGAGGGACCAGAUGAAAUAGGAGGGUCUUGGCAUCUCCUCCCUCCCUCUUACCUUCUCUCUUGAGAUGACCGGGCCUGGAAAGUCAGGUUCAGAGCCACAGACCCCCUCCAAGAACUUUGUCCUUGUGCCAGGGGGUCUGGAAUGCAGCUCAGCCAGUUCCUGGGGCACUCUAGGAAGCUGGCAGACUCAGCAGACUCGUCUGGAGGGACCUUUGUCAAACUGCAGAAGCAGCUCCAUCAAGGCCUGCCAGCUGCCUUCUGCCCACACAGUGGCCCCCGGGAGGAGGGCACCCGGUUCCAUCCACUUUACAGCUGAGAAAACCCAGGUUUAAAGAAGGAAGUGACUCCCUGGGGCAGAGUUCUCGAGCAUUCCCAGAGGUUGGCAGAGAUGGUCACAGCAGCCUGAGACCAGGUCCCCAGGCUCCUCGUCUGUACGGGGGCAGACUGUGCACCAGGUCACUUGCUAAGCUCUGGUGCCCUGGAUCAGUGGGGGGAUGGAGCCAGUCCAGGAGCCCAGGCAUCGGGGGUGGUCUCUGCCCAGCCCCUCCCCAACCCUGGCAGCUCUGUGGGAUGUUUACCUUCUAGCAGGGUGGUAGCUGCCACGCCCUGGGGGCUGUCAGGUUCCACUGCAGACACAGACCACUUGCA